UUCGGGGUGCGUUUUGCGGACGCUUUAGUGGCGGACGGGUGAGUAACGCGUGAGUAACCUGCCUUAGAGAGGGGGGAUAACACACCGAAAGGUGUGCUAAUACCGCAUGACAUGCAGGAAUCGCAUGGUUCUUGUAUCAAAGGAGCAAUCCGCUCUAAGAUGGACUCGAGUCUGAUUAGCUAGUUGGUGAGGUUAACGGCCCCACCAAGGCGACGAUCAGUAGCCGGCCUGAGAGGGUGAACGGCCACAUUGGGACUGAGACACGGCCCAAACUCCUACGGGAGGCAGCAGUGGGGAAUAUUGCACAAUGGGGGAAACCCUGAUGCAGCGACGCCGCGUGAGUGAAGAAGUAUUUCGGUAUGUAAAGCUCUAUCAGCAGGGAAGAAAAUGACGGUACCUGACUAAGAAGCCCCGGCUAACUACGUG
rnacentral:rRNA from 1 species